UACAGAGGGUGCGAGCGUUGUUCGGAAUUAUUGGGCGUAAAGCGCUUGUAGGCGGCACGUCAAGUCGCGUGUGAAAUCCCCCAGGCUUAACCUGGGAAGUGCGCGCGAAACUGACGAGCUUGAGUGCCGGAGAGGGUCGCGGAAUUCCCGGUGUAGAGGUGAAAUUCGUAGAUAUCGGGAGGAACACCAGUGGCGAAGGCGGCGACCUGGACGGACACUGACGCUGAGACGCGAAAGCGUGGGGAGCAAACAGGG
rnacentral:rRNA from 1 species